GGAAUCUUCCACAAUGGGCGAAAGCCUGAUGGAGCAACGCCGCGUGUGUGAAGAAGGGUUUCGGCUCGUAAAACUCUGUUGUUAAAGAAGAACAUAUCUGAGAGUAACUGUUCAGGUAUUGACGGUAUUUAACCAGAAAGCCACGGCUAACUACGUGCCAG
rnacentral:rRNA from 1 species